GGGCAAAAAAAAAAAAAAAAAAAAAAGUAAAAAUAAAAUAAAAUAAAAAUCUGAAAACAUGAACUGUGUAUAUUCAAGGACAUCCAAAUAAGUACCUUUAAUUAAUCUCAUCAUGUUUGGACUUGCAGUGCUGCUCAUACGCAUACACAAUAAAAGACAACAGAAGCAUUUCCAUUUAAGAGAAGUGAAUAUAUGGCAAGACUGAAUAACUAAAAUUAAGACACUGAAAUAUGAAGUAAAAUGGUAAGAUGCACAAUUUUACCACUGAAGGUAUUUCACUUUUCUAGCUAGAAAAAUACAGACUAGUGCAGGAAAGACAUGCUGGAGUAGUUUGUCUUAUGUAGGUAGAUGGUCAGGAAAUUAGGACAUCACCUAACUCCAAAAUCUAGGAUUUUAAGUGUCCCUGUUUGGUUUCUUGGCUCCCAUCAGCUAGACAACAGAUGCUCAUCAUCUAUGUUAGUUGGUAAUCAAUCAAUCAGUAUUUUCAUAUCUCGGCUGUAGUUACAGCUGGGUCCCUCUCCAGACUCCUGUAACCUGAAAGGUUCUGAUGUGUUCUACAGACAACAGGGAGCUAAUCUCUGCACAACUUGCUCCUUCUAUUACUGAAAUUCAGUGCAGAUUCCUUUUCUCACUCUAAAGGGCAUUUCUUGAUUAAAAAUACGUGCUUCUUAGCAGUUUUCAUCCUUCCUAACAUAAGGCAAACUCUUCCUAGGUGAUCAGUGUUGGAUUUUUCCCUAGAACCUUCUCAUCCUACUUAAAAAAUGGCCUUGCAACUGGGGGCUGUGCACCAAUGCUUCCUGAGGAUCAGCUCCUGUUCCUGCAAAGUCAUCCCAGGGGCCUUUGUAUCUCCUCAAGGAAGACCCUCUCUCUACUUCAUACCUUGUUCAACCGCCCCAGGAGAUCUUUCUGCCAGCUCCCAGUAUUACUCAGAUGGAAGAGAUACUGUAUGAACACAUAUAUAGAAGAUAUUUUCAUUUUCAGGAGGAGAAACAAUAAAUAUAACAUUUAACAAUAACUUGUAUGCUUCUACUUGUUUACAUUUAGGAUUUACAGGCCCAUAACUAUGAAGAUUCAUAACAUUAGUUCCAUAUAUCACCAAAUCGUUGCAGAGUGAAAUACACGGCACAUGGUGCAGUGCUCAUGUAGUGC
rnacentral:lncRNA from 1 species